GACGAACGCUGGCGGCGCGCCUAACACAUGCCAGUCGAACGGAGUCAAGAGGAGCUUGCUUUUCUUGACUUAGUGGCGAACGGGUGAGUAACGCGUGAGUAACCUGCCCUGGAGUGGGGGACAACAGUUGGAAACGACUGCUAAUACCGCAUAAGCCCACGGAUCCGCAUGGAUCUGCGGGAAAAGGAUUUAUUCGCUUCAGGAUGGACUCGCGUCCAAUUAGCUAGUUGGUGAGGUAACGGCCCACCAAGGCGACGAUUGGUAGCCGGACUGAGAGGUUGAACGGCCACAUUGGGACUGAGACACGGCCCAGACUCCUACGGGAGGCAGCAGUGGGGGAUAUUGCACAAUGGGGGAAACCCUGAUGCAGCGACGCCGCGUGGAGGAAGAAGGUUUUCGGAUUGUAAACUCCUGUCGUUAGGGACGAUAAUGACGGUACCUAACAAGAAAGCACCGGCUAACUACGUG
rnacentral:rRNA from 1 species